rnacentral:rRNA from 1 species
AGCAGUAGCCGCGGGAAUACAGAGGGUGCGAGCGUUAAUCGGAUUUACUGGGCGUAAAGCGUGCGUAGGCGGCUUCUUAAGUCGGAUGUGAAAUCCCUGAGCUUAACUUAGGAAUUGCAUUCGAUACUGGGAAGCUAGAGUAUGGGAGAGGAUGGUAGAAUUUUAGGUGUAGCGGUGAAAUGCGUAGAGAUCUGGAGGAAUACCGAUGGCGAAGGCAGCCAUCUGGCCUAAUACUGACGCUGAGGUACGAAAGCAUGGGGAGCAAACAGGAUUAGAUACCCCAGUAGUCCCUGUCUCUUAUAC